rnacentral:rRNA from 1 species
GACGAACGCUGGCGGCGUGCUUAACACAUGCAAGUCGAACGGAAAGGCCCUGCUUUUGUGGGGUGCUCGAGUGGCGAACGGGUGAGUAACACGUGAGUAACCUGCCCUUGACUUUGGGAUAACUUCAGGAAACUGGGGCUAAUACCGGAUAGGAGCUCCUGCUGCUUGGUGGGGGUUGGAAAGUUUCGGCGGUUGGGGAUGGACUCGCGGCUUAUCAGCUUGUUGGUGGGGUAGUGGCUUACCAAGGCUUUGACGGGUAGCCGGCCUGAGAGGGUGACCGGCCACAUUGGGACUGAGAUACGGCCCAGACUCAUACGGGAGGCAGCAGUGGGGAAUAUUGCACAAUGGGCGGAAGCCUGAUGCAACAACGCCGCGUGGGGGAUGACGGCCUUCGGGUUGUAAACCGCUUUCGCCUGUGACGAAGCGUGAGUGACGGUAAUGGGUAAAGAAGCACCGGCUAACUACGUG